AGAGAGCAGCCACCAUGGAAAAGAUCAAGGAUGCCUGUGAGAACUGGGGCUUCUUUGAGGUAUGUCUGAACCUCCUUUUCUUAAAAAAUGCUAUCUCCCAGCCUUCCAUCGUUCCUCUUCUUCUAAAAACGGGUGUUUUUUGUUUUCUUUUGAACUCUUUUAGCUACUGAACCAUGGCAUAUCCCAUGAGUUCUUGGACACCGUAGAGAGGAUGACAAAGGAGCACUACAAGAAAUGCAUGGAGCAAAGGUUCAAGGAAUUGGUGGCAAGCAAAGCCCUUGAGGGUGUCCAAACAGAGAUCAAAGACUUGGAUUGGGAGAGCACCUUCCAGUUACGCCAUCUCCCUAA
rnacentral:lncRNA from 1 species